rnacentral:misc_RNA from 1 species
CAGGGACAACGCUGAAGCCCUUCGGAAUCGAGGUUAUCAACGUUGUCCCUGGAGCUAUUAAAUCAAACCUUGGAAGCUCUGCCACUGCCGGGUUUAAUCAGAUGCCUGAGUUGAAGCUAUUCAAGCCCUUCGAAGCUGCAAUAUUAGCCAGGGCCAAUGCCUCCCAAGGCCCCAAGGCCACCCCCACCGCUGAGUUUGCAGAGAGGACGGUGGCCGCCGUUCUCAAAAAGAAGCCAUCGCCUUGGUUCUCUUACGGAGGCUAUUCCACUCUUAUGGCCUUCCUGUAUUAUUUGCCGCUCUCCCUCAAGGACCUUAUUGUGG